AUGGUGGAGAGAUCCACCAAGCUCUCGAUGGACCAGGCUUGUUGCUUGUACUGCCUGGGGAUGACGCGGAGAAACUUGAGAAUCACCAUCUUGUUGUCGAUGGGAUCUCCGAGCGUUGCGAGCUUGGUGACGAGACCUUACAACCACAAAGCAAAGUCGUCGACUUGUUCACCGGCCUUGAACCGGAUCUCCUCGUACUGGAGGCGCAAGGUCUGGGCCUUCGACUCCCGUAUGCGCUCCACGCCGAUGCGCAGAGUCUUGAUGGUGUCCCAUACUUCCUUGGCCGUCUUCUUGGCGCCAAGGGUGAGCACCAUCUCCCGUGGGACGGAGCGCAAGAUCACCUCCAUCGCCAGCCAGUCCUCGUACUCGACAUCGCCGGUUUCCACGGCUUUCCACAUAUGCCGCGCCUCCAUGAUGACUUUCAUCAGGAGCGACCAAGUGGGGUAG
rnacentral:rRNA from 1 species